GACGAAGGGGGCUAGCGUUGUUCGGAAUUACUGGGCGUAAAGCGCGUGUAGGCGGCCCUGUAAGUCGGAUGUGAAAUCCCACGGCUCAACCGUGGAAGUGCAUUCGAAACUACAGGGCUAGAGUCCUGGAGAGGAAGGUGGAAUGCUUGGUGUAGAGGUGAAAUUCGUAGAUAUCAAGCGGAACACCGGUGGCGAAGGCGGCCUUCUGGACAGUGACUGACGCUGAGACGCGAAAGCGUGGGGAGCAAACAGG
rnacentral:rRNA from 1 species